ensembl:misc_RNA Metazoa_SRP Metazoan signal recognition particle RNA
GCUGGGCGUGGUGGCGCACGCCUGUAAUCUCAGCUACUAGGGAGGCUGAGGCAGGGGAAUUGCUUGAACCUGAGAGGCAGAGAUUGCAGUCAGCCGAGAUUGUGCCACUGCACUCCAGCCCAAGUUACAGAGCAAGACUCCGUCUCAA